rnacentral:rRNA from 1 species
UGGGCCUACGGGGCGCAGCAGUGGGGAAUUUUGGACAAUGGGCGCAAGCCUGAUCCAGCUAUUCCGCGUGUGGGAUGAAGGCCUUCGGGUUGUAAACCACUUUUGUAGAGAACGAAAAGACACCUUCGAAUAAAGGGUGUUGCUGACGGUACUCUAAGAAUAAGCAUCGGCUAACUCCGUGCCAGCAGCCGCGGUAAUACGGAGGAUGCGAGCGUUAUCCGGAUUCAUUGGGUUUAAAGGGUGCGCAGGCGGGCCUUUAAGCCGGCGGUGGAAUCGCGGGGCUCAACCCCGCCGAGCCGUCGGCA